AAUCUGGAAUCACAAGAGGAGGACGGGAGGGUAGUGAGAGGACGUCCAGAAUCUCUAUCACAGUCUUUAUUUUUUAAAACAACCUUCAGAUUGUAAAGCUUAACACAAUAUGAAUGGCUCCACCUUCAUGUCUAAAAGAAGAGCCUUCAUGUCUAAUAGAAGAGUAAUAUUAAAUAUUAAAGACUUUAAUAAACAUAUCAUCAGAUCUCUUAAUACAAAUCUCUUAAUAUACUAAUAUUCUAAUAGCUUAAUCAAUAAUAAUACAUCAUUGUUAUUAGUUGAUUUGUAUUUUGUAGUGCUAUAGAUACAGGACAGAGGUCAGUGCUAUAGAUACAGGUCAGAAGUCAGUGCUAUAGAUACAGGUCAGAGGUCAGUGCUACAGAUAUAGGACAGAGGUCAGUGCUAUAGAUACAGGUCAGAGGUCAGUGCUACAGAUAUAGGACAGAGGUCAGUGCUAUAGAUACAGGUCAGAGGUCAGUGCUAUAGAUACAGGUCAGAGGUCAGUGCUACAGAUAUAGGACAGAGGUCAGUGCUAUAGAUACAGGUCAGAGGUCAGUGCUAUAGAUACAGGUCAGAGGUCAGUGCUACAGAUAUAGGACAGAGGUCAGUGCUAUAGAUACAGGUCAGAGGUCAGUGCUGUUACCUGGGGUUCCUCUCUCUGACCACUGACAGCAUGUCGGUGCUGACGGUGGGAUAGUGAACGUAGCUCGCCACCCUACAGCCUCCCAGGUAACGGAAGAUCGGCAGGGUGAAGGCGUAACCCAUCGAGUCCACGUAGAUGUCGGGAACAAACGCCGUCAACGCCUCCCAGCCUGAGACACACACACACACAGACACAGACACAGACACACACACAGACACACACACAGACACACACACACAGAUGUUAAACUAACCACAGACUGCGUUGUCUUUCACCGUCCUUACUAACAGCAGCGCUCUGUACCGAGGAACAUGGAUCCGGCGCUCUGGCCCAGCAGGGUGAAGUGUGGGUAGGAGGCGGCCUCCACCAGCACGCGGUGACGCAGGAAGAUGAAGGUGACCCGUC